UACGGAGGGUGCGAGCGUUGUUCGGAAUCACUGGGCGUAAAGCGCGUGUAGGCGGCCCAUUAAGUCUGAUGUGAAAGCCCGGGGCUCACCCCCGGAAGUGCAUUGGAAACUGAUGGACUCGAGUCCCGGAGAGGAGAGUGGAAUUCCUGGUGUAGCGGUGAAAUGCGGUAGAAUAUCAGGAGGAACACCGGUGGCGAAGGCGGCUCUCGUGGACGGUGACUGACGCUGAGACGCGAAAGCGUGGGGAGC
rnacentral:rRNA from 1 species